UCCCAGCCUGAUGUCCAUGGCUACUACGCACUCCAUUGGGCUGAUCUCGCCCACUACAUAAUUCAGCAUGGCGGGGACUGAUUGAGAAUAUAGGGCAGACAGCAUUGCAUUGAUGUGCUCUUGCAGACUGGAGCUAGGGUUGAGGCUGCUGAUUUCAAUGGGUACCGGCUAAUAGUCUCAUUAAUUAAUUAAUUAAUUUUGUUUCUCCUUUCAGUUGGUAAAUUCUUCUUGGUUAUUUUUUUAUUGUCAUACAUUGCUGCUUACUGGUUUUCCUUUCUUUGCUCUAAGAAACACUACAAAAAGGAUAAUCACCUUGGUCCAUGAGCAUUUUGUUCAAAACUAUUUCUAAUUGGAAAAUAACUUUACCCCUACUAUUCCCCGUGGCCCAUACUAUCUUGUCAUUAGUUCUGUUAAGACUUCCUGUAGAAAAGCGUAUACUAAGCCAGAGAACAUGAAGAGCUACGAAGGUCAAAGAAAAAGAACCGAAUACGAAAAUCAAACCCAUUAGUGAAAUAGAGGAAAAGUUUUACUCUGAGGUAAAAAUUUAAUUUCUAAAGAGACUCAAAGGAGUUUUCUUACAUAAAAAUGGACACAAUCGGAAGCUAACUUACCUAAUAAGGUACUGCUGUUAAAAUUUGGGUUAAUUUAUUCUUCUAUUUUACUUUUAAGUUUGGCUUAUGCUCAUGGGAGGAUGAAUAAUUGAGAUAUGGUUUAAAGGAGACAGCGUUCUUGGAGCCUCUUGCCCCAUCUGUAUCUGAUGUGUAAAAAGGCUGCUAAAAGUUUAGAAUCAUUUGCUGCUUUUUAUUAUGUUAUGCUGUGAACUAAUAACAGAAAUGAUUGAUGAAGUCUAAAAUCAGCUAAGAUCAAUUUCAUGUAAUCCCUUAUGUAAGAGUUAUAAGUUCUUUAGAGGCAAGAAAAAGGGGAAUUGUGCUGGAAGAGAGCUGUGGACAUUGCUUUUGCAACGGCUAUUCUCAUGGCACAAAGAGCAAAGUAAAUGACAACAAGUGCAAAGAAUGGAAAGAUAUUGUUGACACUGCUAUAUCAAUGUUUAAAGGGGAACGCAACAAGAAAGGACGGAGCUCUGUUCAAUGGAAGAACAUGGCAGUAUUUUCAAACUAUUACAGUGGGCUAGGAGAGCCAAUCAUGUUUAUGGUCAAGUGGAAAUUGAUGAAGUGCGUAAUGAGCUUGCGAGUUAUGUGUUGAAAAACAUCCUCAAGCCGUAAAGUAUGCAGUUGCUCAAGCCCUAGAAGCUGUGAAGUGAAAUAGGCUAGAAAUGUAUUUUUGUGCUCCAAAGUGACAAUCUAAAGUGCAUUUCUUCACUUAUUUUGCUAGUGGAGUAGCUAGUAUAGAUGUGCUCCAUAAUUUGGUGUUGGAGUAGUAUAGUGCUCCUUUUUGGCAAUAUUGUCUAAUACAUUUCAGUACAAUUAUGUGGAUUAUAACAAUAUUAGAUAUAUAUUGGUAAUUACUGUUCA